AACGGGUGAUGACCACAUGUUUCGGUCCCAGAUGACGCCCUGUGAUUUCACCGUUGCGAUUUUCUGACGUU